AGCCCUGAGGUGUGCCACACAUUGGAUUGCAAAUCCAAAGUAGUAGGCUAAUUGCCUACCGGGGCUU